UGGGGAAUAUUGCACAAUGGGCGCAAGCCUGAUGCAGCCAUGCCGCGUGUUUGAAGAAGGCCUUCGGGUUGUAAAGUACUUUCAGUCGGGAGGAAGGUGGUAAGGUUAAUAACCUUAUCAAUUGACGUUACCGACAGAAGAAGCACCGGCUAACUCCGUGCCAGCAGCCGCGGUAAUACGGAGGGUGCAAGCGUUAAUCGGAAUUACUGGGCGUAAAGCGCACGCAGGCGGUUGAUUGAGUCAGAUGUGAAAUCCCCGGGCUUAACCCGGGAAUUGCAUCUGAUACUGGUCAGCUAGAGUCUUGUAGAGGGGGGUAGAAUUCCAUGUGUAGCGGUGAAAUGCGUAGAGAUCUGGAGGAAUACCGGUGGCGAAGGCGGCCCCCUGGACGAAGACUGACGCUCAGGUGCGAAAGCGUGGGGAGCAAACAGG
rnacentral:rRNA from 1 species